UCCCCAGCUAAAGCAAAAGAAGUUUGACUCCUGUAGGUGGAACAAAGGAGGGGUGGGAAGCUUUUCUUAAACUAACUCUGUGUACAUGCCUGAGCAACUUUACAGCGCGUGUUCAGCUUUAAUCAGAAGAUUUCUGCACAGCCUCAAGACCUAACCUCGGCCUCCAGCACGCGGUGCUCACUGCGCCUUAUCCUGUAAAAUCAGUGAACGCUCGGGUGCACAUAUGCACAGUAGCUGACUUUACAAAAUGGGUAGAAAUGGCACUCCAGGGCCAAAGCUUGCCCUUUGUUUAAGACUGGAUCCGAUUCAUGUUACAGACUGUAUGUGCCUCUUAUAUGAAUUAUUAAAAAAAAAAAAAAUCUACCCAUCAUGGACAAAGGACCUGAGUUUAGAAUGAAAGCGAAGACGACAGAAAGGAAAGAAGAACCUAGCCCAUAAUUCAGUAGAGCUCUAUUUUUGUCUAGCUCCUUUACCAAAGGAGUCACAGGAGGUUAAAAUGCUAGCAUGGUGAUGACCCAGCCUCAAUCCUGAUUGACUACAACACCCUUGAGAAGACACAAUAAUGAAACAGAAGGAACCUUAAUUUCUACUCUAGACAGGAAAGAAGAAAGAGAACACACCUUCAUCGCUCCUAUUUUUUCUUCAACCACAGUAGCUAAUAUAUUCACGGAUACAUCAAAAGAAAAACUCCAACCAUCCUGUUUUCUUUCACUCAAGCAAAAUCAACUUUCCUCAUUUCCCAACAAAUAUUUCAUCAGGAUGCUAUAAUAUUGUGUAUAUUAAAAUAGUUCUCCAUUAGUUUUCUAGU